rnacentral:rRNA from 1 species
GAUGAACGCUAGCGGCAGGCCUAAUACAUGCAAGUCGAACGAGAUUGAAGAGCUUGCUUUUCAUGAAAGUGGCGCACGGGUGCGUAACGCGUAUGCAACCUACCUUAAUCAGGGGGAUAGCCUCUCGAAAGAGAGAUUAACACCGCAUAAAAUCACAAGCUGGCAUCAGCAAAUGAUCAAAUAUUUAUAGGAUUAAGAUG